CAUCUCUUCUCGUGAGGGUUGUCACUGAUCUGAUAAGACAAGUGCAUAAUCUGUGAACUCGACUGCUGCUAAGUUAACUUUCUUAGCUUCACUGUAGUUUUCGUAAUCAAAGAUCAACUCUACCUUUUGUUCCCACUCGAGAUAGAUCUCUGCAUCAUUCAUACUUCUGAAUGGGGGUAUCUCAUCUUGAUGGAUCUGAUGUCAUCAUCUUCCCUCUAGACCUCUAUUCUAUCGACCUCACUAUUAUCGCCAUAGGACUUAUCAUUAUCUUAGCAAUGUCAGCGUCUGGGAUGGCUACGAUUCCUUCCUUUAUAUCUCUCAUCAAUUCUUAUUGUUAUACCUUCAAUGGCUAAGCUCAAUCUAUUGCACAUGUCAUCCAUCCUAGCUUUCAUGUGUUCUUCUAAGAUCUUAGGUCAGUUACCUUCACUAGAUUAU
rnacentral:lncRNA from 1 species